AGCCCUGAGGUGUUUUACAUGUAAGAUUGCAAAUCUUAAGUAGCAGGAUAACUCCUGCCGGGGCUU
rnacentral:tRNA from 1 species